AACCUCUUUUAGUAGGGAAGAAGGGAGCUAUCGGUUCUUGACGGUACCUGCAGAAAAAGCACCGGCUAACUACGUGCCAGCAGCCGCGGUAAUACGUAGGGUGCAAGCGUUGUCCGGAAUUAUUGGGCGUAAAGAGCUCGUAGGCGGUUUGUCGCGUCUGCUGUGAAAUCCCGAGGCUCAACCUCGGGCUUGCAGUGGGUACGGGCAGACUAGAGUGCGGUAGGGGAGAUUGGAAUUCCUGGUGUAGCGGUGGAAUGCGCAGAUAUCAGGAGGAACACCGAUGGCGAAGGCAGAUCUCUGGGCCGUAACUGACGCUGAGGAGCGAAAGCAUGGGGAGCGAACAGGAUUAGAUACCCUGGUAGUCCAUGCCGUAAACGUUGGGCGCUAGAUGUAGGGACCUUUCCACGGUUUCUGUGUCGUAGCUAACGCAUUAAGCGCCCCGCCUGGGGAGUACGGCCGCAAGGCUAAAACUCAAAGGAAUUGACGGGGGCCCGCACAAGCGGCGGAGCAUGCGGAUUAAUUCGAUGCAACGCGAAGAACCUUACCAAGGCUUGACAUACACCGGAAACGGCCAGAGAUGGUCGCC
rnacentral:rRNA from 1 species